AAGAUCCUUCUCCUAUAGCUCUCUUCUAUUUUCUUCUCUUUUUGCUUCUCAUACAACUGAAAAUAAACUCCAGCUUUCCUUGCCUGAAAGCAUUGUACUCCUAUAGGUAGAAUUUGGUGUGAUUUCAUGAAAGCCUCAGUUGCUGACGCUUCUUGAUCGCAAAGGUAGAACUAAAUGCAUUUUUAUGCAUACAAGUCAAUUUAUUUGCUCAAUAAUCAUGAUAUUAUCUAGUCGUGAAUUCAAACUAACCUGCAUGCAAAGAGUAUAUAUCAAAAGAAAAAAAAAGAUUAAGUUUCUAAUAUAACAAAUCAGCUAAUUCUGUUGCCUCGAGGAAUUGAAAUAGACGUGAUCAUUUACCGAAAUUAGGAAGAAUUUUGUGCCUCUUCUGGUUUUCUAAAAGUAAAACCUAAGGAAUGUCCUACUUGACCGAAUAUAGUUGUAAAACAAAUCAAUGGUGAGCUCAAAUGUGCAUAAUAACAAAGUAAACCCUAAAAUUGAUCGUUUCAGAAUGUUUCCGAGGCUGAGUGUUCCUAGAUUUUGGAACACGACAAGUUCGUGUAUGCGCCAAUUGUAAUGCAUUCUAGGUUGACUCUCGCUAGUCUAGUAUCUUCUUUGAGUUUGUUUCAUCUCUUUUUUUUUUUUUUUUUGAGAAAGUAACAUUUCUAUUAUGAACCAACACUUAGGUAGUGCAAAAACCCUUUACAUGCAGUAGGAAGUUAGUAAGAAAACAAAGGCACUCCUAUUCCUAACAUCUCUCUAGAACAUCUAGGAUAUCAUCUGCAGCUAUGUGAGAUUUCUUUGUAUUCCAAAAACACAAAAGCAAAAUACAGUCAUUUUUAAUCCUCUGUACUGUCCUACUUUUAUCUUCAAAGCUUCUGGCAUUCCUUUCCUUCCAAACAGUCCACCAUAUACAUGCUGGAAUGCUCCUCCAGAUGCUCCUGUUUUUGGCUCCAAUCCCUGCUUCCUCCGAACUGUGAAGAGUGUCAACCAUCUUGCUAGGCAUUGUCCAUUGUAUGCUUCUGAGAUUGAUAAAAAUCUUCCAUAGUUGGUCAGUAAUUCUGCAGUGCAAGAACAAAUGUCCAACUGUUUCUGCUGCCUCUCCACAGAGACAACAGUGAGUAACAAGGAUGAUGUUCCUCUUCCUUAAAUUCUCAUGUGUCAGCACAACCUCUUUAGCUAACAACCAUGAGAAGCAUGCCACUUUCAAAAGAAUUGUAGCUUUCCAGAUUUAUUUCCAUGGCUAGAUGUUAUUUUGAGCUCCAACCAAAUUUAGUAGCUUGUAUCCUGAGUUUACCUUGUAGGACCCUUUACUGUGUCCCCUCCACCACAGUCUAUCAAUACCAGCUUUUAGCCCUUGGAAGCAAUCAAGGGUUUUAAGAAGUUCCCCCAUUCUUGGGAUUUCCCAGUCAUUUAAGUUUCUUCUAAAGACUAGGUUCCAACAUUGGACAGACCACAUAUCUUCCAUUGUCUUCUCCUGAUGCUGAGCUAUAUUAAACAAAUCUGGGAACUCUGUUGCUAGACUUCUAUCCCCUAGCCACUUGUCUUUCCAGAAGGAAGUCCUCCUACCAUCAUUGACUGUGAUGGUAGUGUGUUUGAGUAGAAUAUGCCAUCAAUUUCUGAUGGAUCUCCAAGCAGUUACACCAUAUGGAAUGUUAGCUUCUUUUGUAACCUAGCUAUCCAUUUCACCAUACUUUAGCUUGAUCACUUUUUUUUAUAGGGAACUGGUUUCAUGCGCAUAUCUUCAUAACCACUUUAUUUUUAGAGCUUUACUUUGGUUCUUCAAGUUUUUUAUCCCUAGUCCUCCCUGCUUUUGUUGGACAUCAAUAUCUUCCACUUGACUAGGUGAUAGCCCUUCCUAGUCUUGUUUCCUUGCCAGAAAUUUUCUGAUCUUGUCGAGCCUCUGGACAACACUAGCUGGAACUAGAAAGAGGGUGAGCAUAUAAGUUAGGAGGGCAUCUAGUAUUGCAUUUAUCAGGGUGAGUCUGUCCUCCAAAGACAGAUAUUGAGCUUUCCACCUUGACAGCUUCUUUUCACAUUUUUCUAUAACCGUAUCUCAUAUCUCUUUAGAUUUUGACUUAGCCCCCAAAGGCAUUCCUAAGUAGAUAGAAGGAAGAUUUCCCACUUCUCCUCCCAGAAUUGAGGUUGAGGCUAAGAGAUCAAUGUUCGGGAUUGGGUUAAUGGGAUAUACGUGGCUUUUUCCCCAGUUGAUAUGCAAGCCUGAAAUUCCUUCAAAGAGUACAAGGAUCACUCUUAUGUAUCUUAUCUGUUCUUCCUCGGCCUCGCAAAAAAUCAAGGUAUCAUCAGCAUAUUGGAGGUGUGUCACCUCUAGACUACCUCCAUUAUUUUUAGCCAUCUCAAAUCUUGAGAUCCAACCAUUAUAUUUUGCAGUGCUGAUCAUGUUGUUCAGCCCCUCCAUGGCUAGGAUGAAUAAGAAGGGAGGCAGGGGAUCCCCUUGUCUUAUUCCCCUUUGGGAUGCAAAGAAGCCUUUAGGAGUACCAUUAAUCAAUACAGAAAAUUUUACAAUAGAGAUGCAGAAACUGAUCCAUCUAAUCCAUGUGUUCUGAGAGUGUUGAGCAAGAAGUCCCAAUUCACAUGGUCAAAAGCCUUCUCAAUGUCCAGUUUACAUAAGAUUCCAGGUUUCUUUUGGGACAGCCUUGAAUCUACUGCUUCAUUUGCAAUUAAGACCGCAUCCAUGAUUUGUCUUCCAUGAAUGAAGGCCAAUUUUUGUGACCCUACCAAUUUUUCCAUUACCCCUUUUAACCUUUCAGUAAGAACUUUAGACAGUAGCUUAUAGAAACUACCUAUCAGGCUAAUUGGUUUGAAGUCUUAAAGUUCCUUAGCCCCUUUCUUCUUUGGGAUUAAAGCAAUGUAUGUGGCAUUGAAGCUCUUUUCAAACAUUUCAUUUUCAUAGAAAUUGUGGAAGGCUUCCAUAAUAUCAUGCUUUAAGAAAUCUUAACAUUUUAUGAAGAAUCCCAUAGUGUAUCCAUCAGGACUAGGAGCCUUGUCCACAACACACUUCUUCAAACAACUACAACUUCCUGUUCCUGAAAAUUUGCUUGUAACUGGUCUUUCUCUGUUUCCGAAAUUGUGGGCAGCCUAUCAUAUUCCCUGUAGGUCUCUAUUUGUUUGUUUCUAUGUACAUUUUUUUGUAGAACUGUAUAAUUUCCUCCUUAGCACUUUCCGGGUCCUUUACUAGCUCUCCCUGUACUUCUAAAUGGUCGAUGUAGUUACUUCUUUUGUGGGCAUUAGCUGUGAUAUGGAAGAAUUUGGUGUUGUUGUCACCUUCCUUCAACCACAAUAUUCUUGAUCUCUGUCUCCAAGCUAAUUCUUCAUUCUUAAGCAAGGUUUCAAAUUCCAUAAUCGUUUUUGCCUUCUCAGCAGCCUCUUCCUCAGUCAAAGCUUUACUAUCUAUUAUGGAGUCCAUGGUUGCCAUUCUGCUUACCAGAGUGGAUUUCUGCAAAGACAAAUCGCCGUUCUCUUCCCUGCUCUACUCUUUUAGCUUGCAUUUGAGAGCUUUCAGUUUGCAAGCUAAAAUGUAGUCUGGUUUUCCCCAGAAAGUAAAGGAGCUCCACCAUGCUUUGACUCUAUCCGUGAAACCUUCAGUGUUAAGCCACCAAUUUUCGAAUUUGAAAUAUGAUUUGUUAUGCUCCCAAGGGCCAUAUUGUAAAGCUAUAGGCACAUGGUCCGAAGUUAGCCUUUGGAGGGUAGUUUGCUUUACUUUGCUGAACUGUUCACUCCACUCUGCGGAGAAGAAAAUUUUGUCUAUCCUUGAGGCUGUGUUGUUGGUGUCUCCUUUGAACCAUGUAUAACUCCCUUCUUCUAAAGGAAGAUCAAUAAGCUCCAGAUCAUCUAUUGCAUCAAAAAAUUCAGCCACGGUAGAGGUCCUCCUUUGAUAGUUCCUCUUCUCGGUCAAGAACCUAUGCACAUUGAAAUCCCCACAUACAGCCCAAGGACCCUUCAUUAAACCUCUCACAGCUCCUAACUCAUCCCACACUUCCCUUCUUUCCACCUUACAAUUAGGCGCAUAAACACCUGAAAUGUGGCAGUUGAAGUCUUGGAGCAGAGCUUCGAAGCUGCAAGUUAGAGUAUGAACCCUUGAUUGGAGUAUCUCCCCCUUCCAGACUCUACUAUCCCAAAGCUUAAUGAUUCCUCCCCUUGUGCCACUAGCUUCUAAACAAGCAUGUUUAGCCCAUCUCCCACCCCAAAGUUGUUUCACUAUCCCUUGCAUGUCCCUCUGUAACUUUGUUUUCUGAAGACAGAUUAUGUCUGCCUUCCAUUGAUCAAUACAAUUCUUCACUAUUCUUCUCUUAUCAUUCAAUCCCUUUACAUUCCAAGAUAUUAGUUUGAACUUUAUGAUAUUGAUUGUGAAUGCUCUUUCUCCUUAUUCCCACCCUCAUUGUUUUUGAACUUCACAUCAAAAGAGAUCAAGUUUUUCAAUUCGUUGGCACCUUUGAAUCUAUUUUUCUGAUUUCUGAAGGUAGUCCCAUCUUUCUAAUCUAUCUGCAAUCUAUCUGCAGGCAUCUAUUUGCAUAAGAAGCUCCCGAUCUUCCUCCUCGUGGCCCUUGAAAUCAACCCCAAAGAUUUUUCCAAGUUUAAUUAUGUUCUGCCGCACCUAUAUUGAUGUGGUCUUUUCCUUUUCAAAGAUAUAUGGGUGUUUCUGUGGCUAUUGGUGUUGCCUCCUCCACGUUCCACAACUCUCCUCCCAUACUGAAAUUGGCAUUCAUAAUUUGUUGAUCCAUGCAGCUCUCGAGCCCAACGUUUUGUCUGAUAGUUAUUUCCCCCUCUAACUUUUUGGUAAUUUUUGCAAACUCCAACUUAUUAUCUUCGCUGGUACCGGCUUCUCCAUCUUCAGCAGAAUUUUGAAUCCUCCCUUCGUCUUCUUUACUGAUGUUUUCUGGUAAAUUUCUAAGCAUCACAGUCUCCUCCCAUAGAGCAUCUGUGAAGAUUAAGUUGGGUUGGGCUUCUGAGGGCAUCUUUUGUUGAAACUUUUUUUAGACUGGGCCGGCCCAAAAUUAGAGGUACCCAUGUUGUUAUCUGCAUGUAAUAAGCUUUUCACAUGCUCCACAUGUGGGUUAGAUUUUAAAAAAUCGCACCCCACGUAUGUAAUCCAGUUGACAACUGUCAACGCAGCUAUUUCCUUGAUAACAUCAAAAGGCGCUUUAGUCCGCCGGACAAUACCCAUCUUUUUGUCAAAGAGCGAUUGUUGUGUAAAGCCUUUUGCUAGGGUUCCAUUCUUUUCCACUUUUUCCGGCGUAGCUUUCGCCGGAAUUUCGAUGCAGGGGUAAGCCCAUAGCCUUGAUCCAGGUUGAUUCUCUUUGGCAUUGGGCAGGUAUACAACCAGUGAGAGGGGUCCACUAUUGUAGUUGAACCAUCGAUUUUCUCCAGUCUCCUUGGACUAUUUGCUCAACCAUGUGCUUGUUUAGAAAUGUGAAGAGGAAGGUAUAGCCUUCCAUCUCAUAUAUGUGGACACCAAAAGCUUUCUUCCAUGUAAAGGAGGCCCACCUUAGUAUGGGUGACUCAUCUCCUCUAAAAAUUUUCGUCUAAUGCUUCUCCCCAGAGGCCCCUUAGGGUUGUCAGACCUUUCAAUUUGAUCUUAGUGUUGCCAUUUACUGCCCUCAACCGCGCUGACAUAUGAGAUGGUGUGUUCUGGUAGUUGGUUGACCAUACAUUGAUGGUUAGCAUUUAUGAAGUUUUCAAUCUUGAGAGCUAUGUCCCUCCAUCCUGCAUUUAUUGCCAACUCUGGGACAAUAAUAACUUCUCUAACCCCAUCUUUAAGGGACAAAAAGCUCAUGUACUUUUCGUGUUCGUUGUACUUUCUGUGUUCGUUGUACUUUCUGGUGCCAUAAAACUCAACUGCUUGGUCCUUAGUCCUCCAUCUUCUUACCAGAUUCCUACCAGAUUCCUGUUGUCGUUUGAUGCUUCUUUGAGGAUAUGGCAAAUCCACUCCAUUGUCUUCCUACUCAGUGUUAUUCUACGCAUUAUGUUUUUGCUUCUCUCAACCCAGUCCAACCAAAUUGUAUUGCCGGAGUUCCAUCUUGUAAUGUCGAAAGACUUAAAACCCACAUUGAAAUAAAUUCGAUUUUCUGCCAUUGAUUUGAAACAAUAAUAAGAGGGAUUGAAGCAAUAAUCACAGUGGGUGAAUAUUGAUUGGUUAAAAAAAAGAAAGGUUAGAUUGUUGGAGAUCGGUGCCGGAGUGAGACUUCUACAGUCCUAGAAAGUAGGAGAGAGAAGAUCCUUGGUAUCCGUGCCUGGGAGCAUUUUUUCUUAGUGUUCAACUCUCUUUCCUAAUAGAAUGAAUUUGUUUCAUCUUUUCACAUAUCACAUUCUCUUGAAGUACAUGCAACUCUGUCUUAAUCAUCAAGAGCACAAUAUUUGUUGACUGAUGGAGGAUUUCAAGGAAGAUACUAAUCAUAUCAAGAUUUGAUCCUCUAAGAUCUUAGGAUACCUUAGGAUAAUUUUUGUGAUCUAGAAUAUCGUAUCUGUGAUUUUUUUUCUUUCUAUGAUUCUGUACAAUCCCAGAUUUCAUGGGAUUUAGAUGAUUCUACUCAACAAUCUCCUAUGUAUAUAAAACCCAUGUAUAUGACAUAGAAAAGAUUGAAUGAAAUUAUUCAAUCAUCUUAUUUCACAUGGUAUCAGAGCUUUAGGCUUAUUCCUGACCAUUUUUAUUUUAUUCAUUCAGUCUUGAAGUCUUUUUUUCCCGCUUUAUCUGCCCAAAUGUUGAAACCAUUCAAAACCAUGUCUGAAAAGGCAACUGAUGCAAAUAUUCUAGUCCCUGGAAGUGUUUCUGCAGCCGUAGAGAAUAACUCUACAGUUUCAACUGGAGAUUUGCAAAACAUGCAAGCCUCUUAUCGGUUGAAUGGAAGAAAUUACCUAAAAUGGGCUCAACUAGUUCGUACCGUUUUAAAGGGUAAAGGGAAAUUGCGACAUCUUCUUAGUUUAGGACCAUCUAAAGAAGACCGCACGUUUGAUGCAUGGGAUGAACAAGAUGCAAUGGUGAUGUCUUGGUUAUGGAACUCCAUGCUUCUGGAAAUCAGCGAUAACGUUGAGCACUUACGGAAAUUUGGGCAGUGAAGGAGACGUACUCUAAAGUACAUAAUGCUGCCAGGAUCUAUGAAAUAAAAAUAAAACUUUCUGCAACAAAACAGGGAGCUCGACCUGUCACUGAAUAUUCUAACUUUAUACAGGGGUUCUGGCAAGAAAUGGAUCAUUAUCAAUGCAUUCAAAUGUGUUGUAAAGAUGAUACUGUGAUUCUGAAAAGAUUUAUUGAAAAAGAAAGGAUUUAUGAUUUUAUUGCAGGACAGAAUUUGAUGUCGUGUGAGUGCAGAUCUUAGGAAAAGAAGGCUUGCCAUCACUAAAUGAAACACUGGCCAUUAUACGGACAAAAGGCCGGAGGAGUGUUAUACUUGAAACUCAAAUUAAUGAAGGAUCAACUAUUAUAGCAAAAGGACAAAUUCAAGAGAAUUGGAGUUUCACAAUGGGAAAACACUGUCAAGCCUGCCGGUUCAUUCAAACCGCCAAUUAAUAGGGAUAAUCUUUACUGCACCUACUGUAAAAAAUAUCGACACACCCGAGAUAGGUGUUGGAAACUCAAUGGUAGACCUCUAAACAGAAACAUUAGUGAUGGAAAGCAGGCACAAAUAGCUCGCAACCCUGACACUGAUGAAAAUCGACACUCUGCUUUAGAAGGUAGUUCUUCACUGGCCUUCACAGGUAUUUCUUUCUCCUUUGUUACUAAUGUCUCAGACAAACUUUCUCCAAAGUGAGUGGUUGAUUUCGGGGCAAUUGAUCAUAUGACCUGUUUAUCUCAUCUCUUUAUAUCAUAUUCCCCUUGUCCUAACUAUGAAAAAAUAACUAUUGCUGAUGGUUUAGUUCUUACCGUAGCUGGAAAAGGAGACAUACCAUUGGGAAAGUCCUUGAUACUUAAAAAUGUCCUUCAUGUCCCAAAGCUAGAUGUAAAUCUCAUUUCUGUCCAAAAAGUCACCAAAGAUUCCAAAUGCCCAGUACCUUCAUAUUGUUUAUUUCAGGAACGGGACACGAAGGGGAUGAUUAGGCGUGCUAGUGAGAAAGGUGUUCUUUAUUGUUUGGAUUUCCACAAUGGUGAAGAUAAAACUAAGAAUUCCUUAUCUAGUUCAUUCUUGUCUGAAUCAAUUAUGUCCAAUAAAGAGAAAGUAUGGCUUUAUCAUCUUCGCUUAGGCCAUCUGUUCUUCUAUGUAAUCAAAAAGAUGUUUCCAUCUCUGUUUAAAGAUUGAGUGUUGAGUCUUUUCAUUGUGAUGAUUGUGAAAUUGCAAAACACAAAUGUGUUUCCUUUUCAAUUAGUAAUAAAAGAUGUAAGACUCCUUUUUCUCUUAUUCAUAGUGAUAUUUGAGGACCUUCUCCUGAUCCUAAUAUUUCUGGUGCUAGAUGGUUUGUGUUAUUCAUUGAUGAUUGUACAAGAGUAACAUGGAUCUAUUUGUUAAAGCAAAAAUCAGAUGUUAGCCAAAUUCUUCCUACCUUUUUUAAUCUGAUCAAAACCCAAUUUGAUUUGCCAAUUAAAAGAUUCUGAUCUAAUAAUGGCAAGGACUACUUCAACCAAAACCUCUCUGUUUUCUUCCAAAAAGAGGGAAUUAUUCAUGAAUCUUCAUGUGUCAAUACUCCUUAACAAAAUGGAGUAGCAGAGAGAAGAAAUGGUUUGUUACUAGACAUUACUAAAUCACUAUUGUUUCACAAAAGGGUUCCAAAACAGUAUUGGGGGGAAGUUGUCCUAACUGCUGCACUCCUUAGUAGUAGAAUAUCAUCAAGAAUUCUGAAUUUUAAAAGCCCCCUGGAUACUCUUAGGAAUUUCUUCCCGAAUUUUGAAAUUUUCAAUAAAUUGGUUCCUAAUCUUUGGCAGUGUUGCCUAUGUUCAUAUUCAUUCUCAUAAUAGAGGCAAAUUAGAUCCACGUGAUCUUAAGUGUGUUUCCUUAGGAUAUUCUCCUACUAAAAAAGGUUAUAAGUGUUAUCAACCAUCAUCAAAAAAAUUCUUUGUUUCAGCUGAUAUCACAUUUGAUGAGAGUGAAUCAUUUUUAGCCAUUCUUACAAUCAUAGAGACUCACUGAAGAGAGGGGGACCUCUAGACAUUACUAUUUGAUUUGUCUAUUUCUAGUCGUGCCAAAUUCUUGUCCGAGUCACCAUUUCUUCGGUUACCCAAGUCUCUAAUCCAAAUGAACCCACCAAGUCUCCUAAUCUGGAUAUGGAUAAUGGAAUUCUAGAAAAUACUCUACCAUUACAGGUUUAUUCCAGAAGAAAGAGGCUAAUAGAUCAAACUACUCAAAGGCAAUCAUCUACUCGGGUUAUUGCUCCUACUGCCCAUCCUGAACCCGUUGAACCAUCAAAAAUACCAAACCAAACUGAUCAUGAAGAAGAGUCUAACCAAGCUAAUGUCCUUGACCUUCCCAUUGCACUCAAAAAAGGAACCAGAACCUGCAUACAACACCCUUUAAGCCUUUAUGUGACAUAUCAAAACCUAUCCCCAAGUCGUAAAGCUUUUCUCUGGAACAUCCACACAAUUCCUAUCCCUUGUCUGAAGCUUUAGGGAACAAAAAGUGGGAGAAAGCUAUAAAGGUAGAAAUGGAAGCGUUUGAAAAAAACAGAACUUGGGAAAUUGUAGAAUUACCAAAAAGGAAAAAGUCGGUGCGGUGUAGAUGGGUUUUUGCUAUGAAAUAUAAGUCAAAUGGGUCCACAGAAAGAUUUAAAGAACGAUUAGUAGCAAAGAGUUAUACACAGACCUAUAAAGUUGAUUAUUUGGAGACUUUUGCUCUAGUGGAAAAAAUGAAUACAGUAAGAAUCUUAUUAUCAUUGGCUGCGAUUUUUAAUUGGAACCUACCACAAUUUGAUGUGAAAAAUGCAUUACUACAUCGAGAUUUAGAUGAGGAGAUCUAUAUAGAGGUGCCUCUUGGUUUUGCAAACAAGAAAGGAAUGGUGUGUAGACCGAAGAAGGCAUUUUAUGGAUUAAAGCAAUCACCUCGUGCAUGGUUUGGAAGAUUUACAAAGGUCAUGAUCAAGCUAGGGUACCGACAAAGUCAAGGAGACCACACCUUGCUCAUAAGACACUCAGAAACAGGAAAGGUAACAACAUUAUUAGUUUAUGUAGAUGACAUCAUAGUAAUAGGUGCUGAUUCAGAAGAGGUACAAAAUCUAAGGAAGUGUUUUGUCAGGAAUUUGACAUCAAAGAGCUUGAGAAAUUAAAGUAUUUUCUGGGAAUCGAAGUGGCACACUCAAAAUAGGGAAUCUUUAUUUCCCUNNNNNNNNNNNNNNNNNNNNNNNNNNNNNNNNNNNNNNNNNNNNNNNNNNNNNNNNNNNNNNNNNNNNNNNNNNNNNNNNNNNNNNNNNNNNNNNNNUUUGUAUCAAAGGCUUGUAGUGAAAUUGAUCUACUUGUCCCAUACAAGGUCGGACAUUGCCUUUGCUGUGAGUGUUGUAAGCCAAUUUAUGCAUGAUCCUAGAGAAACACAUCUUCAAGUUGUCAACAAGAUUCUACAAUAUCUUAAAGGGAACUCGAGUAAAAGGAAUACUAUUCAAAUGAGGAGGAGACAUAGUUUUAGAGGCUUAUAUUGAUGUAGACUAUGCUGGUUCAUUACUGGAUCGAAGGUCAUUUUCUGGAUAUUGCACUUUCUCAGGAGGAAAUCUGGUGACUUGGAGGAGUAAAAAACAAAAUGUAGUAGCCAGAUCAAGUGCAAAAUCUGAAUUUAGAUCUAUGGCUAUGGGAGUUUGUGAACUGUUAUGAUUAAAGAUAAUCCUUGAUGAUUUGAAGAUAGGCUGGGAAGGACCAAUGAGACUAUAUUGUGACAAUAAAUCAGCAAUAAAUAUAGCUCAUAAUCCUGUACCACAUGAUCGCACUAAGCACAUUGAGGUGGAUAGACAUUUCAUUAAGGAGAAAUUAGAUAGUGGACUCAUUUGUACGCCAUUUGUAUCUACAAAAGAUCAGGUAGCCGAUGUUUUGACAAUAGGAUUGCCAAACAAUAUGUUUCAAGAUCUAAUAAGCAACCUAGGAAUGGAAAAUAUCCAUUCACCUGCUUGAGGGGGAGUGUUGACUGCUAGAGGAUUUCAAGGAAGAUGCUCGUCAUAUCAAGAUUUGAUCCUCUAAGAUCUUAGGAUAUCAUAAGAUAUCUUAGGAUAAUUGUUGUAAUCUAGAAUAUCCUAUCUAUGAUUCUCUCUUUAUGUAGAAUAUCUGAUUCUGCACAAUUCCAGAUUUCAUGGGAUUUAGAUGAUUCUACUCGACAAUCUCCUAUGUAUAUAAAAGCCAUGUAUAUGACAUAGAAAAGUGUGAAUGAAAUUAUUCAAUCAUCUUAUUCCACAAUAUCAAAAUUUCUUUUUAUUUUUCCCUUUUUAUAAUUGUCUUUUUUUUUUUUGUUUUCCUGGAACUGCUAAACAGUUGGAUUGAUUUCAAGCAUCAAAUGGGAUCAAUGCUGGCCGAAAGUGAUAGGAAGGGCAUAAUGGUACCUAGAGUUAAGAAGUCCACCAGAAAAGGGUCUAUCUAUUCGAAUCCUCUGCCUGAAUGCAGGUGCCUUUGGGAGUCAGAAAGAGCUACCAACCGUAGUAAUUCAUACCUCAUGGUAGAUCAUUGAGAUUGGUCCAAGUUCUAAGUUCCUUUGAUUUGAGCAGUCUAAGUUGAUCAGUUAAGUUGGGAUCCUUUUGCAAGCACCAGUUACUCUUCUGUUUUGCUUGUUACCUCUGGAACAGUAACAAAGUAUCCAAUUGCUACCAUGCUAUUUCCAAGGAUAAUCAGUAUGCUUCCAGCUUUAUCAUUUUGGGGUCUGUCGCUUUAUGUGCAUGUGGGGAGUGUUAGAAUAGAUCCAAAGCUCCAAGUCCAACUUUGAUUACAGGAAUCGAAGAUUGCUAAAGCAUCUCAGUCAAGAUCAUAAGAAUUCGCUUUCCAGUUUUGCCUUGUCUGGCGAGGCAGGACAAUUGAUCUAUCUGGAGUUGAUAUCAGCUCCUCAGAUCCUAAAGCUCUCAGUUAUGAUCUCUCAUAGUCUAGAUUUUUUAUUCUCUCUCUUCUUCUUAGGAUUUGUUACUGCGUUCACAUUGCUUUUGGAAACUUGUGCUCCUUUAGUCAACUAGUUGUAAUGCUACAAAUUUUUUAAUGAUUAAAUUUCAAGAUCUAUCGUGCCAAGUGUUUCUACCUUAGCAAGUGUCUUGAGGAUUUUUGCAGCUUUAUAUAGUAUUGGAUUGAGAUGAGCUCAAAUAGAUCGACAUGGACGGCAAAUAAUUGUACAUUAAUUCCAAAGUUCAAAUGAUCAGCCAUUUUGCGAGUUUUCACCGUGCCUUGAGCCGUCGCACAUGGUUUUCACUUUUCCGGAAAACUGAUAAGAAAUGAAAUAACCUGACCAGGAACCCAUACGCUUAAAAAAAUUUAUAAUGAAUGUAACUGCAGGUACUUAUGGUUUCCACAUAUGUAAAAACUAAUUUAAAGAUAUUUGAGUUUUACGUCCUACUUACUCUGCAUUGAUGACUUACAAUCAACUACUCCCUCCAUUCAUGUGAUAUCCUUUUGUUUUUAG
rnacentral:lncRNA from 1 species